AGAUGGAGGAGCUGAUGGCGA
rnacentral:misc_RNA from 1 species